rnacentral:lncRNA from 1 species
AGUCUCUUUCCCUGCUGCGUGUGAAUGGAGAUGUGGAACUCUCAACUUCUCUAGUAACACAUCUGCCUGCCAUGAUGCUAAUAAGCUAAACCUCUGUAAACAAGCCCCCAAUUAAGUGUUUUCUUUUCUAGGAAUUGACUUGGUUAUAGUGUCUCUUCACAGCAAUAGGACAGUGACUGAGACAGGCACAACACUCAGCAGGUGUCUGUGAAAAUUAAAUAGCAUGCCUCUUCUACUUUCAUCCUUCUGCUGUGUUCAUUUCUGUCCAAAGCAAACUGGGGGUGAGGGAGUUUAUUUCAUCUUACAUUUCCAGGUCACUGUCGUGGUCUCUCAGCAUCUGCAGCUGCCUGCAACGGGCACCAGAUGGAGCCUAUCAGCAGUUACCAGGAAUGAGCAGAUGCUCACUGGGCCCUGCCCCUCCCUGCUGAGUCACCAGCUACUAAUGGAUUGUGGGAGAUGGAAAGAUACUGUCUUUAGUCACACAGCCACUGGUAAGCCCAUGGGGCUCCAAGAAAUAAUUCAAAAGUCACGACCGUGCUUAAACUCAGCAAGUCACAAAAAAAAAAGUCCAACUGAUGAAAUACUGGGCAAUUCACUUGUCAAGUAA